GCAACGCGUGACAGGUGUUCGUCGGUUUGUUCGAGCCAUGUGUAUCUCUCUCUAGUCAUAGACUCUCUAUAGAGACCACAAAGAUGGCUCGGAUACCGUCGUUCUGAGAUUAUACUGUCAUAACUUGAUCUGGAUAAUACCAGCGAAAGGACAUGCGUGGCUUGACUC
rnacentral:ncRNA from 1 species